rnacentral:tRNA from 1 species
GGAUGUAUGGCUUAGUGGUAGAGUACAUGCCUAGCAAGUAUGAGGGCCUGAGUUCAAGCCUCAGUACUAUUA